rnacentral:misc_RNA from 1 species
GGAAGUAAAAGUCGUAACAAAGUUUCCGUAGGUGAACCUGCGGAAGGAUCAUUAUUGUAUAACCGAGGUGCGAGGGCUGUCGCUGACCCGAAAGGUCGUGCACGCCCGAGUGCCCUCACACACAUCCAUCUCACCCCUAUGUGCACCACCGCGUGGGUCCCCCUUUGGCUUGUUCGGAGGGGGGCUCACGUUUUCACACAAACUUUGUAUGCAGUGUAGAAUGUAUUUUUUGUUUUUGCGAUCACGCAAUCAAUACAACUUUCAACAGCGGAUCUCUUGGCUCUC